rnacentral:rRNA from 1 species
GACGUAGGGUCCAAGCGUUGUCCGGAUUUACUGGGCGUAAAGAGCGCGUAGGCGGUCCGUUAAGUGUAGAGUGAAAGCUCCGGGCUCAACUCGGAAAUUGCUCUGCAUACUGGCGGACUCGAGGACGGAAGAGGUUUGUGGAAUUCCUGGUGUAGCGGUGAAAUGCGCAGAUAUCAGGAGGAACACCGGUGGCGAAGGCGGGUCUCUGGGCCGUAACUGACGCUGAGGAGCGAAAGCGUGGGGAGCGAACAGG